rnacentral:rRNA from 2 species
UACGGAGGGGGCGAGCGUUAUUCGGAAUUAUUGGGCGUAAAGGGCGCGUAGGCGGCUUGGUAAGUCAAAGGUGAAAUCCCUCGGCUCAACUGAGGAAUUGCCUUUGAAACUGCCUGGCUCGAGGCCGGGAGGGGGUAGCGGAAUUCCCAGUGUAGCGGUGAAAUGCGUAGAUAUUGGGAGGAACACCGGUGGCGAAGGCGGCUACCUGGACCGGUUCUGACGCUGAUGCGCGAAAGCGUGGGGAGCAAACAGG